UAAAGGAAGGCCAACCCAGUACAGCACACAGUGCUUCAGUUUGUGGAUUAAUUUGGCGGGAAAGUUUGUGGCUGUUAUUGCAAACUCAGAUCUUUUUUUUCUUUAACAUUUCACAACUACUUUAACACAUAUAGUGUUGUCUCUUAACCUCCAGAUAUUUCCUGCUCUAAAGCCUGCGUGUUAUCUUCCCCCUUUUACUUCCUCCUUAUGCUGGCAGCUUAUUAGUGAUCACACACAUGCUGUCCGCUUCACACAAACACUCUUCAGUGCCUGAUCAUACAUGCCCCGAAGAGCACACGUCCCCGUGGACGGGCCACCCCGAGCAGCCCUGUGGAUCGCACCAAUUGUGUUGCAAGGAACGCAAAAGGUCUAUCCAUGCAUCUACUGGUCUCUCUCUGAUCUAGACUCUUCUCUUAGAGUAUUUGACAGACUGUGGUUGACACUCAAUUUAAGGGGGUGUCAGUUUGUCAAAUACCCCAAGAGAGGGGGCACGAGUCUCCAAAGUUCUCCAUCACCUGGUUUGAUACAAGCAAACCCCGUUAUACCUCAUGUUCAACCGCAUGCAGCAGCGCAUGUGUAAGUUUAGCUACUUUUGCUCAGUGCUGUGUAGAUUGCUUACAAAUUGUAGUCUUUUACAUGAUGAAAAUUGUAGUCAGAAAUGUAAUCCAUUUUAAGUAAUUCUUUCAGACUACUUUUUGGUUACUUUAAAAUUACUUUUGACCUAACUUUAUAGAUUUUUGUUUAUAGAUUUAAAUGGGAUUCUUGUUAGAAAAAGCAAAGAUAAAUAAAGUAUAUUCCAUUCUGUUAUCUACAUCAUGAAACACAUUAAAUGUUACAUUACUCCAGGGUUUCACAAACUAUAGGGUAAAUGAAAAAAGUGCAGAUGAUUUCUAAGUUUAUUUAAAAAAUAUUUUUUUAAAUAAAUCAUUUAAAUAAAAUGUUUAUGUUUACCUGCAUGUCAGUGUGACAUUAGAUAACUGUGAACAUGAGAAUGUGUUGUUAAAUUAUUAUAUAUAAAAGUUAACAUGGUAUAAUUGUCUGAGAGUUGCUUUCAUCAUCAGAAGCACGGAUUGCAUAUUAAUUUACAUUUAUGUGGCCAUUCUAUAUUGUGCAUUUUCAAAGAUAAAUGAUAUGUCACUAGAAUUUUUAGCAAAUAACUGUAAUAUGAUUAUGAGCAAUAUAAAAUGUAACUUACCAGUAACCUAUAUAAAAUAAGAAGAAGCAUAUGGUGUUUUCCAUGUAAUCUUUUCAUUUAUAGUGUGUGUGUGUUUGUAUUUAUUUGCUAUGUUGCUGCAAUCUUAUUGGAUGGAAAAACAGGUAGUUUGGAUAAAUAAAUAAAAAAAGAAACUAAUGCACUAUUAAAGUACUAUUAAUGCAGUGCUAUCUGUAUCACAGAUCAUUACGUUAUAAUACAGUUGUCUUACACUCUCAACAUGAUUUAGACAACCAGUGUUUAGCAUGCUGACAGCUGCUGAUGAAAGUUUGCAUGAACAAGUUCCUCGCUACAGACAACUGGAGUUUUACAAUUUAGAGUGUGUGUGUGAGUUGACCUCACACACACACUCUGGGAGUGUGCUAUCUUUUAUCUGUUAAUUAAAUCUAUUUUUUUUGUUUAUAUUUAGCAUGUAAAUUCUGUUAAAAAUGGCUGUUUAUUAGAACAUUAAACAAUAAUUACAAAUUGAAAUUUCUCUUUCAGAAAUGAAUUAAAAAAGAAAGGUUCAUUUGCAUUGUUAAAAAAAGAAAUGCUAGUGCUUGCAAGUCUGCAAAAUAAAGGUUUGAGUUGUUGUCAUAA